rnacentral:misc_RNA from 1 species
UAUUGCUAUAAAAGAUGCUUGUGAUUCUUUUUACUGAAUUUUUGGUAUUUGGUAGUUGAUAUGAUGUGGAUUCUGAUUGAGGUUUUUGUUUUGGGCAACCUUAAAUUGGUCUGUCUUCUUCUGGUUUUCCAUCAGCUCCUUAAACAUUUGUGUAAUUUGGAUAUCUCUAUUGAUACUUUUGGAGGUUGAUUUAUGGAUUUUGGUUAAUUUCGUUUUAUUUUUUUAAUAAAAAAUUUGUUAUGUGGUUUAAUAUUGAUUUGUGGGUUGAAGAUAAUGAGGAUUUCGAUUAUCUGUUUUACGGGUUUUGUUAAGUACUUAAGUGGAUCUUUCUUUGUUCGAUUGAUCAUAGGGUGUGUUUUUUUAACGUUCUAGUUUUGUCUUUUAUGCAAGUAUUAAUUCAGUAUAUUUAUUCUUAUUUGUUAAUAUGUAGCUAACCAUCAAAUCUUAGACUUACAAAUUCCAUAGGCUGACCCAUAUGUGGGGUAUUAGGAUGCCAAAUCUGGAGCAUUGUUGGUAUGUUUAAUCUUUUUUGCUAUCAACAUGGUUACAGAGUUUCAAAUUUUAUUCUUUCUUGCUUGUAAGGCACAAUUAAUCAUAACUGUUGAUUAUAUAUAGAACUAAUACUUUUUGGUCCAUGGAAGACAAUUGGGCUCUGGUUACAUAAGGAAAACCCUUCCUAAACUCCUUCUACCCCAAAUCAAUAGACAACAACCCUCCUUAUCCAUAAAAGCGUUGCUGGCAUGGGGAAUAGAAUCUGUAACAGCUUCACACCCAAGCACUUGACUUUAAGGCACUGAACUAUGUAUAGCCUGUCCCACACUAAUAUCUCCAUUGAAGAACUCCAGUUGGCGAGUCCAUUUGGGCUAAGUUGGACUAGUAUGUUACAUAUUUACUGAAUUAUAUAAGCAGAAGAGUCUUCAUAUAUUGUAGACAUGAGGUUUUAGUGAAUUCUGUGCACAUUUGGGACUUCUUAUAGUCGCCUAUUAAGGAAUUAAUGGUUAUCAGGUGGACAUUUUACUUUAGCUGAAGCCAUUUCAAGAAAUACGCUUCUCCACUACCAUUUCAAGAAAUACAUUUCCCCACUAAGUGCAUGUUCAUAAUGGAAAAAAAAAAAGGUUUUUUCUUUUACAACUGAGAACAGGAAAAAUUAUAAUUACAAAAAUAAACCACCCCAUAAUUAGAACUGCCUUAGGCUAAUAACUGCAUCCUCCCACUUGUCUACUGAUAGGCCUUGGGCCAUACUAAAUGUUGGACAUUCUUCACUGGGG